GAUAUUACACUCUACCCCCCUUAAAAAGAAUUCGACCUCGAAUUCGGCCACUCCAAGCAAAACACCCAAGGUACCCCAUAUAGCACCACAAUUCAAAACAUGGGUCCAUUAUUGGUCUUAAUUAACACAAGAACUUCUACCUUGGACUAAUUGUCUAAGGAAACUACACGACCUGACAUCAAGCAUGAAACAACAUGUAAUGAAGCUCAAAGCAUGUCAUAGUUGCAAUCAACACUCCAAUUUCACACCAUCAAAUUUGGAUGCAGCUAUACAUCAACAUCAAUGUCUUAAGACAACACUCUUUUAUGAAGGGGUAAUAUGCACCAAGCACAACCCUUACCAACUUCAACCAUUAAUUUUAAUUAAAUGGUGAAACAUCUACACCCGACGAAUGUAUAAGAAGAUCAAACACCUCACCUUAAAGCACUAUGAAACAAGUAGUUCUAUUGGAACAAAACUCCUAAUCUUCCUAAACCUUAUUCUUGCCAUCAUGAAAAGAUAAUCAUGUAAUCUAACAUUCCUUGCACCCCACCAAAAGGGAGAAAAUCUAUAGAACUAGUGGAGCAAUAAAGCCAAAAGAAGCCAAUAACAUCUUGUGCGGCAUAGUUCAUCGAAGAAAUGCCAAAAACUCUACAUAGAGCACUGAUAGCCCAACAACAACACAAUACUUGCUUAACCCAUGUCACUAUACUUCAUUCAACAUCUCAACUAAGAAAAAUAUCCAACUAGUAAGGAUAACCUACACAUAAUAUAAGUCUUCAUCUACUGUAGUUCAGAAACUUACAUUUCAUUCUAUCAUACGAUGCACUCAAAGUACCAGACAUACAAAGUCAAUAAUAAUAACCCCUAAUCCUUCACACAUUUGACAAACAUAUUAAGCUGAUGUAAACACCACAUGAUCUAGGAAUAGGUGACUAGCCACACCCAACCAACUCUAGGCUAGGCAAGGACUUCCUUCAAACCAAUAGAUAGGUGGUCUAAAAAAAUGGCUCCACAAGCAUGCAUCGAAAAGGGAACCAUCAGAUCCUCAAUGUAUCAAUACAUAAUCAAUGGAUCAAGAGAAUCAAAGAUUUAUUCUACAAUUAGUAUGACUAACAGGCAACCACUUUAAACCACAUCUAGGCUUUGUGGCAACUAAAACACACAAUAUGAGAGAGACAUGUAAGCCAUUCUGGCUAUGAAAAGACUUCCCCCAAAAAUCCAUAUAAAGUACCAAUAUUCAUUUCUUUCAAAACUGGUUUCUCAACAUAAACAAUCAUUCUUUGCAAUGAUAGUUGGAGCUAUCCACCAACCGCUCAACAACUUAAAUUCAAAUUGAUGAUUACCUUGUACCCCAAAACACGCAAUUCACACUCCUCUUAGAAACAUCCACAAUCAAGCAUAUAUAACAAUAUUAUUGUAAUAAAACUCAACCAUGAAAAACAUGGUGAAAACAACAUAGGCAUACUUGUAUAUCACAAGCAUAAUAACAACUUCAUUCUCACCAAUGACCAGCGAUAUCUACCGCAUUAAUAAAACAAUAUCAAAAUUUCAGAAAUAAAUUAUAUCAAGCAUUAAGCCAUAAACAACUUACCACAUCACCGUAAAGGAAUAGGGAGGGGUGAAACUAUUGUCAUCUGCACUCCAAAGACAUUAAUAUAUAUCAAAGAUAUUUGAACCCAUACCCUUCCUAUAUGUGCAAGUGUGUCAAAUUUAUCUUCAAAUUGCCAAGAAUCUAAAGCCUAUGCUUUGAUACCAACUGUAACACCCCGGGAUCCACAAACACCCCAGAAUGCUACUAAACUACACAUCUAAUAUUCAUAUAUAAAAUUUCGACAACAUCUCCUUUGAAAAUUGCAUAAACGGGGGAAGCAACAAAGUAUAAAUAGAUAUCAUGAUAAGAAAACAUAUAAGACAUUAAUAAUCUGCUAGCAAUGGGAAGACAACCAUAACAACAUGAACUGAAUUAAUCAGUGCGCACGACUAGUUAAAAACAAACAUCCUUUGACAAGAAGUUUCUAAUUAAAUCAUGGCUGCGUCUGGGCAGCAUUAUUAUGAGAAUGAAGGUGGAUGUGCUGCUACUUCCCACUCCCCUUGAUGAGCAACAAGCACCUGCAUUGAGUAAUGCAAGAGUGAGAUGAAACAUCUCAGCAAGCUAAUUGUUCUGACGAGAUAUUUAAACCACAAAUUGAAUUCAUCAACAUUUUAAAAGAGUCACAAUUAAAAAUCAGAAAUGCUUGUAGAUAUAGAACUCAGUAGUCCCACUAUAACCAAUACCAUC
rnacentral:lncRNA from 7 species